GAUGAACGCUGGCGGCGUGCCUAAUACAUGCAAGUCGAGCGAACAGACGAGGAGCUUGCUCCUCUGACGUUAGCGGCGGACGGGUGAGUAACACGUGGAUAACCUACCUAUAAGACUGGGAUAACUUCGGGAAACCGGAGCUAAUACCGGAUAAUAUAUUGAACCGCAUGGUUCAAUAGUGAAAGACGGUUUUGCUGUCACUUAUAGAUGGAUCCGCGCCGCAUUAGCUAGUUGGUAAGGUAACGGCUUACCAAGGCAACGAUGCGUAGCCGACCUGAGAGGGUGAUCGGCCACACUGGAACGGAGACACGGUCCAGACUCCUACGGGAGGCAGCAGUAGGGAACCUUCCGCAAUGGGCGAAAGCCUGACGGAGCAACGCCGCGUGAGUGAUGAAGGUCUUCGGAUCGUAAAACUCUGUUAUUAGGGAAGAACAAAUGUGUAAGUAACUAUGCACGUCUUGACGGUACCUAAUCAGAAAGCCACGGCUAACUACGUG
rnacentral:rRNA from 1 species